rnacentral:rRNA from 1 species
AGUGAACGCUGGCGGUAGGCCUAACACAUGCAAGUCGAACGGCAGCACAGUAAGAGCUUGCUCUUACGGGUGGCGAGUGGCGGACGGGUGAGGAAUACAUCGGAAUCUACUUUUUCGUGGGGGAUAACGUAGGGAAACUUACGCUAAUACCGCAUACGACCUACGGGUGAAAGCAGGGGAUCUUCGGACCUUGCGCGAUUGAAUGGGCCGAUGUCGGAUUAGCUAGUUGGCGGGGUAAAGGCCCACCAAGGCGACGAUCCGUAGCUGGUCUGAGAGGAUGAUCAGCCACACUGGAACUGAGACACGGUCCAGACUCCUACGGGAGGCAGCAGUGGGGAAUAUUGGACAAUGGGCGCAAGCCUGAUCCAGCCACACCGCGUGGGUGAAGAAGGCCUUCGGGUUGUAAAGCCCUUUUGUUGGGAAAGAAAAGCAGCAGGUUAAUACCCCGCUGUUCUGACGGUACCCAAAGAAUAAGCACCGGCUAACUUCGUG